GUAGGUGGCAAGCGUUGUCCGGAAUUAUUGGGCGUAAAGCGCGCGCAGGCGGUUCUUUAAGUCUGAUGUGAAAGCCCACGGCUCAACCGUGGAGGGUCAUUGGAAACUGGAGAACUUGAGUACAGAAGAGGAAAGCGGAAUUCCACGUGUAGCGGUGAAAUGCGUAGAGAUGUGGAGGAACACCAGUGGCGAAGGCGGCUUUCUGGUCUGUAACUGACGCUGAGGCGCGAAAGCGUGGGGAGCAAACAGGAUUAGAUACCCUGGUAGUCCACGCCGUAAACGAUGAGUGCUAGGUGUUAGGGGGGUUUCCGCCCCCCUUAGUGCUGCAGCUAACGCAUUAAGCACUCCGCCUGGGAGUACGGCCGCAAGGCUA
rnacentral:rRNA from 1 species